AACGAACGCUGGCGGCGUGGCUAAGGCAUGCAAGUCGAACGGACCUAUUCAACGGGUAACUGAAGAGUAGGUCAGUGGCGAACGGGUGAGGAAUUCAUGGAUAACGUGCCCCGGACUCAGGGAUAGCGUUGUGAAAACGACGGUAAUACCUGAUGACCCCGUAGGACCGCAUGGUCCAGCGGGCAAAGCUCCGACGGUCCGGGAGCGAUCCAUGUCCUAUCAGCUAGUUGGUGAGGUAACGCUCACCAAGGCGGCGACGGGUAUCGGGC
rnacentral:rRNA from 1 species